UAUAGUUAAAUAUGAUAACAGGAGCUAUUGUUGGGGAUGCUACGCGAACUACAUCUCCACCACCAGCGGCCCAGGUAUCAUAAAUUCCACCGAAGUACAUAGCUUUCGCAACAAGUAGAUAACAUCCGCAACCUAAUAACACUAGAUGAAAUCCCAAGAUUGUUGCCAUCUUAUUUUUGUCACGCCA
rnacentral:antisense_RNA from 11 species